GGAUGUGAGGGCGAUCUGGCUGCGACAUGUCACCCCAUUGAUCGCCAGGGUUGAUUCGGCUGAUCCGGCCGGCUAGGCGGGUGUCCCCUUCCUCCCUCACCGCUCCAUGUGCGUCCCUCCCGAAGCUGCGCGCUCGGUCGAAGAGGACGACCUUCCCCGAUAGAGGAGGACCGUUCUUCGGUCCAGGGUAUACGAGUAGCUGCGCUCCCCUGCUAGAACCUCCAAAACAAGCUCUCAAGGUCCAUUUGUAGGAGAACGUAGGGUAGUCAAGCUUCCAAGACUCCAGACACAUCCAAAUGAGGCGCUGCACGUGGCAGUCUGCCUUUCUUU
rnacentral:snRNA from 1 species